rnacentral:rRNA from 1 species
UACAGAGGUGGCAAGCGUUGUUCGGAAUUACUGGGCGUAAAGGGCGCGUAGGUGGCGGGACAAGCGGUGACGGUGGAAAGCCUGGGGCUCAACCCCGGGUCCGGCCGUGCGAACUGUUUUGCUUGAGCACUGUAGAGGCAGGCGGAAUUCCGGGUGUAGCGGUGGAAUGCGUAGAGAUCCGGAAGAACACCGGUGGCGAAGGCGGCCUGCUGGGCAGUAGCUGACACUGAGGCGCGGACAGCGUGGGGAGCAAACAGG